UACGAGUGCGUCGAGCGUUAUCCGGAAUUACUGGGCGUAAAGGGAGCGUAGGCGGGUUAUCAAGUUGGAGGUGAAAGCCCAGGGCUCAACCUUGGAAUUGCCUUCAAAACUGAUAGCCUAGAGUAUGAUAGAGGUAAGUGGAACUCCGAGUGUAGAGGUGAAAUUCGUAGAUAUUCGGAAGAACACCAGUGGCGAAGGCGACUUACUGGAUCAUGACUGACGCUGAGGCUCGAAAGCGUGGGGAGCAAACAGG
rnacentral:rRNA from 1 species